CCUGGUAGCAGCUAGGACUGCUAGCUGUGUGUGCAGGUAAGGGAGAGCUGGAUAGAAACACCAGUUAGUCAUGAGUCUAAUGACUUCUUUUGUAUUCAGAGCUGGAAAGCUGUUUGCUGACUUGCGCUGACUGUUGUCCGACUUGUAGGCUGCUGAAAAGGUUAGCUACAAAUAAGGAUUUUCAUCAUGAGAUUGUCUCCCCCCAUGUUAGCCAGAGUAGCUAGCCUGUUGACUUUCCCUAACCUGGGCCCAGAUUGAGUGAGGUGACAAACUGGCAUGGUAAUGUAGGGUUAGUGUUAUUACCCUCUGAGGUAUUUUUGGCUUUGUCCAUGAUUUUCACUUAUGUUUCCUUGAUUUCAGAUUUAAUUAUCAGACUGCUGUUUGUCUUCUCCUUUCCUGUUUUGCAGCACUACCCUACCUCCUGCUAGGCUUUGUUUGGCCUUGCUUGGCUUUGGUUUAAGUCAGUCCUUCUUCAGGACUGUUCGAAUUAUAUUUGUCCACAAAACUACAGAAACUUUAAUAUUUGUGUCUAAAAUUGUUUUUGUACAAACCAAGACAAUUUACCUGUUACCCUUUUUGAUGUGAACUGAAUCAACUGAUACUCAGCAUUUUAUCUUGUUCCCUUACAGAGGUACGAGCUGUGGGGCGUGAAUGUGGGGUCCACCUGUUUGCAUGCUGUAGUAGGUCAUUUAAAUGUUUUGUAGACUUGCAUCCCUUUGCAGUGACUAUUGCAGUGAAGAUUUGUGUUAGCAGCUUUUAAAUAAACAAAUCUUACCUGUGAAACAAAUGCACGUCUCCUGCUUUUCCUUGAAUCUGUAAAUUGGCUUUGUGUCAACACAUUUAAAGGAAGGGUCUUUCUCUGGCCUAAGGGUUUUUCUCCAACCCUGUGUCUUUAAUAAUGUCCUGUGGGGAGUUUUCUGAUGUUCAUGAAGUUAAACUGAAAUUCAUAUUGAUGACUUUUUGUGAUAUUCAUAAGAAAACAAGAUCAACAGUUUUUAUAUCAUGUAUCUUAAGUCCUGAAACAGGUUCAAGGGGGCAGUUUUGCAAACAGUCCCGUUUUCACAUUUUUCAAAUUAUGAAAACAGGGCUAUUAAGGGGUGUCGAAUAAAGUAGUGUCAAUAAAUGAGAAAAUUGACUGUACAUGAGUGGUUUAAAAGAGGCACUACUUUGGCAUAUAGAGGACAUGAUAAGCAGAGUUUUAUCCACAGGGGGCGCCAAAGUUGUGACAAAGUUCCUCACAGGAGCUUUAAGGACUAAAAGAAGAGAAAACUAAUACUGUCCGAGAGACGAUGAGAACUAAUUACCACCUGAAAGCUUGUGACUUAUUUCAUUUUUCUGGGAAAUGAUGGUUUUCAUGGUGUUCAGGGCAAACAUGGAACAGAUGAAAAACAUUUGUUUGUUUGUCUUAAUGAUUUUAAAUCACUGUCUUUGAUUUUAAAUUUUCAUGUCUUUAUUUUAAAUUGUUAUAUUCUCUCCUUUUUUAAAUUUUGAUGUAUUUCUUUGCAUCUGUAAAGGACUUUGAAUUGCCUCAUGUAUGAAUGGUGCUAUACAGAUAAACUUGCCUUGCCCUAAAAAAAGAUGUUUGUCCAAAGUCACCAAAUUAAGUACCAAUAAAUUCUAAAAAAAUCGCUGACUCUGAGUUGGCCAAUCAGAUUGAGGGGGCAUAGCCCACCUGACCAUCCUCUGCCACUGCUCAGUUUGUACCCGCAUUGGCAGCACUAAUUUACUAUGCUAGCUAGCAAACAAUACAGUGAAUUAUGCUGCGUUCGAGUUACCUCAGAAGUCAAAAAAGCAAAAGCUGAGGCGGAAACAAGAUGGCUACAUCUACGAAAGUUAUUUCAGCGCUUGCCUUGUCUGAAUAUAAGCAACUUCUGGACAAUUAUGCAGUCCUUCUGCAACAUCUUGUUUCCGCCUCCGAUCUUGCUAUUUUCCGACUUGGUAACCCAAACGCUGCUAACUUGGGUGUGAUGUCAUUCCCAGCUUGGACAUCUGACUUCUGAGGUAACUCGAACACAGCAUUACUCUCAGACUUUCAGCCUGCUACCACGACGACUGCAUUAAACCUAAAGUUGCCAGUUCUUAGAGUCACUCCUCAAACAUGAGGUUUUACCUUUUAUAAGCCCUGUAUCUGUGAGUGGGGUGGGGGAUCUUCCUUGUAGACCAGCUACAUCCUUUAAACCAAUGGUAUCUUUGUGUUAGUGCAUAUAUCCAAAAAAACACAUGCAGCCACCCAACGUCAUUUUGACGUCUUUUUUCAGGCUAGAUCACAUCGGCCUGUCAUGGCUGUCAUUUAGCCCAAAAAAACAUGUUGAAAACUGGGCUUUAUUUAGAUGGUCCAAAUCUAGACGUUGUUUAGAUGUAUGAUGAAAAUGUCUUUUCAACCACUUUUUGCUGGGUGGGAGGCUAGUUUUGAGCAAUGACGGUCAUGUUUCUGUUCCCCAGGGUUACUGUCAUGUUCCAGAAAGUUCUGUUAUGUUUCCUGGGUUUUCGUCCCUGUCAGAUAGAUUAGAGAGAAAACAGCAGCGGGUAAAGAGGGUUAACAGUGGGCGCUAAUGUCAGCACCUGCCUGUUGUUGAAUAAACACUCAGCCACUCAUGAAUAAAUCAUUGAGGGGAUCUGCAGAGAUAAAACAGCUGAAACAGGCUGUGACCUCUGUGUUAUUUCAGUUUAAAAGCCACCAAUCAGUGUGAACAAGCAGUUUUAGGAGGCCGGGUUCAGAGGAGAUUAACCUCCAGUCACCCUGAUGUGUCGACUGAGAUAAUGUCAUCUGGGCUGAUGCCACUCACCAGCCUGUAUUUUUUUUUCUUUCUCCAGGCUGUUGUUUCAUUAUUGCAUAAUUUUCUGACUUUUUUUUCUCACCUAAUGGUUUAUUUCUGAGCACCACCCACUCCUCCUGGUCUUUCACUCUCUCUCAGCUGUUCAAACAGAGCGUUUCUAUUUAUAUGCAUUAGCCUGAGAACAUAUUUACUCAGGUCCAAUGAAGCAGUCCGGUAUGAAGAGCAGCAGUUUAGCUUGUCAAAUUAGCCUGCGCCUGUACUGUGCUGCCUGCUAAUGACAGAUAAUGAGCUGCUGGCAGGUUCAUCUGCAUGGUUUUCUGUCAAGAUCCGAGUCCCUGAUCUCAAUCGCUGUGACUCUGGGGUCACACCAGUCCUGCAGAGCUGAUGAAUCUGUAUCAGUGGGCUGUCAGUUAUUAUCACAUCUACUGAAAAUGACCCCAUAGUGAACAUCCAUAUGAUCCUUUAUGACCACAUCCUUAAGUUUGAGGUCCUGGGAACACUAGACCUUCAGUUCUGAAGCAGAGCAGAUGAUGUGUUAUCCUGAGAACAUGACAAAACAAAGAAAGAAGGAAAGAGGAGGUCUUGUAGUUCCUCUCUUAAAGGUAUAAAAAAAACCCAGACUGGUUAGAGGGAGAUAAACAGAGCUGUGUCACUGCUGUCUGUCACCUGUCAGGACCCUGAGUGAGACGAGGACUCUCCUGUCUGACACCUGGGAUCAGGUGGAGGGAAGGGACAUCACGGGAAAUAAAGAAACAGAGUGAUGGAGGAAGAGAAAGUGACAGACGGGGCGAUAGAUGUUUCUCUGCAUCUCUUUACCUCCACGUUCAGUGAGAAAUGGUUUACUUGAGGGUUAGCGGGUCAGACAGAGAGGGGAGGAACGAUCCAGAGAGAGACUGUCAGUGUGGAGGGUGAGCUGUGGCUGUUUGCUGAUUGGGGAAUCAGGUGCACUGACUGUACGCUGUAGCUGUUAGCAAGGAUGCUAAUGGUUCUCCUCUGGAAGAUCAACUCACAGUUGACCUCUGCUUUAGAAAACAAAUAGGUGACCUAGGUAACUGACUUUUACUUUGUUUUAGCAAAAUCAAUAUACAUUAGAUUUUUUUCGAAUCCCAUAUGUAUAAUUGAUUUAUGUAUCAUUGUUUCUUAUUCGUCUAAAUGAUCUGUCAGUAUUUUAACUGUUUUAUUUAUUCUAUCUAUUCAAUUUAUUUUUGUUUAUAAAUUGUAUUUUUUCAACCUUUAAAUUUUGCUUAUUUAUUUUUCUGAUGACCUUUUAGCGAGUAACCCAUCUUUGAAUUUAUUCUUAACUAAUUUUAUUUAUUUGCAAUAUUUUAUAAUUGUUUUAACUCAAUUUAAAUUUUAUUGUUCAUCCAGUUUAUUUAUUUCUAUUUCUUAUAAUUUUCAAUUACUCUUCAGAGAUUUAAAUUAAUUUUGAUAAUAUUAAACUUGUUUUAUUUUUUCUGAAUUCUCUACAAGUUCUUUAACUCAGUUGUGUUGAUAUUUUUUAAAAUUCAUUUUAGUUAUUUGUAUAAAUUUUAUUUUUCUUAAUUAUCUUUAAAUGUGUUAACUUUAACUUUUUUUCAAUUAAUUCCAUUUUAUAUUUUCUAAAUUUAAAUUGUAUCUUAUUUUUCCGAGUCUUUUUACCCCUGUUAUUUUUUUAUGGAUAGUCAUUUAAUUUAUUGGAUAUAUUUAUUUUAUUUUUCUGAAUUGUAGUUUUGUGUUUUAGCUCAUUUUGAAUAUUCAUAAUUAACAUAUUAUUUUAUUUUAUUUUUCUGAUAGAGAGUUUAGUUUUUUAACUCAAUUUUAUUUAUUUAUUAAAUGACUUCUCAGAUAUUAAUCCUAUUUUGUUUUUAUCAUCUUACUAUAGAUUGAAGAGGCCACCCUCGGCCACCCUCUGGUUCCGCCUCUGUAAUCUUCAUGAUAACCAGCUCAUGUUGGAUGUGUGGUGCUCUACAUGUCAGGACCUAAAAUAUCGAUACAGCCUUUAAGGGAUCAAUUCAAUUCAGUAUUCUGGCAUUAAAUGUUUUAAUUUUUCACUGUAUUGAUUUUUUCUGACAUCUCUAAUUUGAAUAUAUGAAGAAAAGUCUGUUCAAACCAGAGGACUUGAACUUUUCUGAUCUGUCAUUUAUUCUCUGUGUCUGCUGACUUUCUCUCUGAAGUCUGCACAUUUUUCCCAUGAUCCAUAACUCAGUCAUCUUCAUGGGAUAUUCAGGGCCUCUGGGAGCUGCUUGCAUGGCAGUAAUUCAAUGCACAAUCCAUAUGUGUGUGUCAGCCCGAGCCUCAUGCAGUCACUCUCCCUCCCUUUUCACCAGGACGCUCCAGCUUCACCUCGGGUGCUUGAUCCUGAGCAGGAUGUGAUGUCACAGUCUCACAUCAGCGGUAAAGCGAAGGCUGCUGAGGACGUUGAUUCAUCUCAUCUCAGCAGAGAGAUUCCUGCCAUGUCUGCUGCCGCUCCAUCUCUCACGUCUUUCAUCCUCCGUCUCGUCCUCCGCCGUGACAGUGAUUAAUGACCCUCAGCUGCUGUGUGCUUCCUCGCUGACACUCCCAUCUUUCUUCUCCUCCUGUUUGCGCUCUGUCUCACAAGAAGAAGGAUUAAAGUGAGUCUUGCCAAAAGAAAAGCGAUUGAUGCCACAUGUUUUUAGUGGGAGGGAAAUCUGAUAGUGGUCAACAUGCAGAGAGAAAGAAAUAAAGACUAUUCUCACAGGUAUAAAUACGAUUUUAUACCUCUAGUCUGAGCUGGGGAUCAACAGGUCUGUCUGAGCAAUGCUUCACCUCAUCCUGGUGCUAUAUAUUGUACAAUAUCAGGGGUCAGAGGUCAUCAGAGGAGACAGAGAAGUAGUCCAAAAACAUCACUAGAGAAGGAAUGACUCACUCAGUUGGCCAAUGCUAAGAAAUCUGGAUAUGUUUUCUAGUCUAGAUUUGUUUUUGUUCUGUUUUGACCAUUUGCAGUCAUGUGUCUGGUAUGAAUAUGCUCACUAUAAUAGACAUCAGAAGUAUCAGUGUUUAUAUGAAAGGCAACUAGGGUUGACAGUUGCAUUCAAGGUGCAUUUAAGAGCUAUUAAAGUGUGUCCCGUUAGCCUGCUUAACACAAAUUAGGGUGGGUAUUUCCAACAGUCUUGUGAUACGAUACAGAAACCUUGAUUCAAAAUGUAACAGGACAGUGUCCACAAUUUAAUA